rnacentral:rRNA from 1 species
GUCGUUGCAGUUAAAAAGCUCGUAGUUGAAUUUCGGGGUUAGUAGGUUGGUCAUGCCUCUGGUAUGUACUGGUCUCACUGAUUCCUCCUUCCUUAUGAACCGUAAUGCCAUUAAUUUGGUGUUGCGGGGAAUUUGGACUGUUACUUUGAAAAAAUUAGAGUGUUUAAAGCAAGCUAACGCUUGAAUACAUUAGCAUGGAAUAAUGAAAUAGGACGUUCGAUCUUAUUUUGUUGGUUUCUAGGAUUGACGUAAUGAUUAAUAGGGAUAGUUGGGGGCAUUAGUAUUCAAUUGUCAGAGGUGAAAUUCUUGGAUUUAUUGAAGACUAACUACUGCGAAAGCAUUUGCCAAGGAUGUUUUCAUUAAUCAAGAACGAAAGUUAGGGGAUCGAAGACGAUCAGAUACCGUCGUAGUCUUAACCAUAAACUAUGCCGACUAGGGAUCGGAUGAUGUUAAUUUUUUAAUGACUCAUUCGGCGCCUUACGGGAAAC